GACCUGAUAGCAUAAUGGUUAAUGUAUCUGCUAUACUUAGAUAGACAUUCUUCUUGUAAGCAGAAGAUCCCUGUUCAAUUCGGGGUCAGGUCA